CUAGGAAGAUUAUUGACUGUAGAAUGCAAAUCAUGAAUGCUAGCAAAUUGCAAGGUGAUCUAUUGUCCAGACUUUCUAGUGUUUGUAAGUCUGGAAAUUUUCAAAUUUAUUCUGUAUAUCUUUCUCUUCUCCCAAUUUGGCCUAGAGUGGAUUGGAAAAACUUGAUGGCUUCCAUAAAUGUCUUGCCAAGACAUAAGUUUACUGUGUGGAUGGCUGCUCAUGGAAGACUACCAA
rnacentral:lncRNA from 1 species